rnacentral:rRNA from 1 species
AUUGAACGCUGGCGGCAGGCCUAACACAUGCAAGUCGAGCGGCAGCGCGGGGCAACCUGGCGGCGAGCGGCGAACGGGUGAGUAAUACAUGGGAAUCUGCCUGGUAGUGGGGGAUAACUCUGGGAAACUAGAGGUAAUACCGCAUACGUCCUACGGGAGAAAGCGGGGGAUCUUCGGACCUCGCGCUAUCAGAGGAGCCCAUGUCCGAUUAGCUAGUUGGUGAGGUAAAGGCUCACCAAGGCGACGAUCGGUAACUGGUCUGAGAGGAUGGUCAGUCACACUGGAACUGAGACACGGUCCAGACUCCUACGGGAGGCAGCAGUGGGGAAUAUUGGACAAUGGGGGCAACCCUGAUCCAGCCAUGCCGCGUGUGUGAAGAAGGCCU